AGUUAUAAACUUUAUGAAUAAGAUUAUGUUUUGAAACCAUAAUAAAAGGGUUUAACUCCCUUAUUAACUU
rnacentral:tRNA from 1 species